AUUGAACGCUGGCGGCAGGCCUAACACAUGCAAGUCGAACGAGUGGCGGACGGGUGAGUAAUGUCUGGGAAACUGCCCGAUGGAGGGGGAUAACUACUGGAAACGGUAGCUAAUACCGCAUACCAUCGGAUGUGCCCAGAUGGGAUUAGCUAGUAGGUGGGGUAACGGCUCACCUAGGCGACGAUCCCUAGCUGGUCGGAGCGGAUGACAGGCAACACGGGAACGUAGCCACGGUCCAGACGCAUACGGGAGGCAGCAGUGGGGAAUAGUGGACAAUGGGCGCAAGCCUUAUGCAGCCAGGCCGCGUGUAUGAAGAAGGCUGUCGGGUUGUAAAGGACUUUCAGCGAGGAGGCGUUACUCGCAGAAGAAGCACCGGCUAACUCCGUGCCAGCAGCCGCGGUAAUUC
rnacentral:rRNA from 1 species